UUGGAGUGGUGCCCGUUUGAUGAGCUGUGU
rnacentral:piRNA from 1 species